GGAAUAGAGAGAAAAGGGAUAAGGGAAAAUGCAAAAUUAUCUCUAAAAGGGAGAGGAAAAUUUAGCCAUGAACCCUGGGAAAAGAUUCUGGAAUGAGAAAGACUGAAGAGGAGAGGUUUGGGAGUUAACUGACUCUUCACUGUUUUUCCUGUCCCUGAGGUGGAAGGGAGAAUAACAUCAACUCCAUCAGCUACUGUGACUACUUGUGGAGAAACUUGAAGGUUCUUAUGCCUUGGAAGAUAUCUAGGAGGUGAUCUGGUUUUCCCUGCAGUGUUGUGUCAAUUUGACUGAGGAUCCAGGACAAUUCUGAAGGACUAUGGACAAAGAAUGCUAUUGACCUCCAGGGAAAGAACUAAUGGAGUCUGAAUGCAGAUUGAAGUAUUUUUCAUGUUUCUUCUUCUACAACAUGACAAGUUAUUAUCUUCAGCUCUUGCUAUAUGACCUCUUUUGAGAACACGCAAUUCUCUCUUCCAUAACUGACUCAAUUUUGAUGAAUAAAUAAUCAUUAAAUAGCA
rnacentral:lncRNA from 1 species